rnacentral:rRNA from 2 species
GGGUUGUGAGGUUAAGCGACUAAGCGUACACGGUGGAUGCCCUGGCAGUCAGAGGCGAUGAAGGACGUGCUAAUCUGCGAAAAGCGUCGGUAAGGUGAUAUGAACCGUUAUAACCGGCGAUGUCCGAAUGGGGAAACCCAGUGCAAUUCGUUGCACUAUCGUUAACUGAAUACAUAGGUUAACGAGGCGAACCGGGGGAACUGAAACAUCUAAGUACCCCGAGGAAAAGAAAUCAACCGAGAUUCCCCCAGUAGCGGCGAGCGAACGGGGAGCAGCCCAGAGUCUGAAUCAGCUUGUGUGUUAGUGGAACGGUCUGGAAAGUCCGACGGUACAGGGUGAUAGUCCCGUACACCAAAAUGCACAGGUUGUGAACUCGAAGAGUAGGGCGGGACACGUGGUAUCCUGUCUGAAUAUGGGGGGACCAUCCUCCAAGGCUAAAUACUCCUGACUGACCGAUAGUGAACCAGUACCGUGAGGGAAAGGCGAAAAGAACCCCGGCGAGGGGAGUGAAAAAGAACCUGAAACCGUGUACGUACAAGCAGUGGGAGCACCUUCGGGUGUGACUGCGUACCUUUUGUAUAAUGGGUCAGCGACUUAUAUUCUGUAGCAAGGUUAACCGUAUAGGGGAGCCGCAGGGAAACCGAGUCUUAACUGGGCGUUAAGUUGCAGGGUAUAGACCCGAAACCCGGUGAUCUAGCCAUGGGCAGGUUGAAGGUUGGGUAACACUAACUGGAGGACCGAACCGACUAAUGUUGAAAAAUUAGCGGAUGACUUGUGGCUGGGGGUGAAAGGCCAAUCAAACCGGGAGAUAGCUGGUUCUCCCCGAAAGCUAUUUAGGUAGCGCCUCGUGAACUCAUCUUCGGGGGUAGAGCACUGUUUCGGCUAGGGGGUCAUCCCGACUUACCAACCCGAUGCAAACUACGAAUACCGAAGAAUGUUAUCACGGGAGACACACGGCGGGUGCUAACGUCCGUCGUGAAGAGGGAAACAACCCAGACCGCCAGCUAAGGUCCCAAAGUCAUGGUUAAGUGGGAAACGAUGUGGGAAGGCACAGACAGCCAGGAUGUUGGCUUAGAAGCAGCCAUCAUUUAAAGAAAGCGUAAUAGCUCACUGGUCGAGUCGGCCUGCGCGGAAGAUGUAACGGGGCUAAACCAUGCACCGAAGCUGCGGCAGCGACACUAUGUGUUGUUGGGUAGGGGAGCGUUCUGUAAGCCUGCGAAGGUGUGCUGUGAGGCAUGCUGGAGGUAUCAGAAGUGCGAAUGCUGACAUAAGUAACGAUAAAGCGGGUGAAAAGCCCGCUCGCCGGAAGACCAAGGGUUCCUGUCCAACGUUAAUCGGGGCAGGGUGAGUCGACCCCUAAGGCGAGGCCGAAAGGCGUAGUCGAUGGGAAACAGGUUAAUAUUCCUGUACUUGGUGUUACUGCGAAGGGGGGACGGAGAAGGCUAUGUUAGCCGGGCGACGGUUGUCCCGGUUUAAGCAUGUAGGCUGGUU